rnacentral:rRNA from 1 species
GCUACUACCGAUUGGGUGUACCAGUGAGAUCCUUGGACUGGCGAGCCUUGCACCCUAGCAAUAGAGUGCAAGCGUGUACGACGGGAAGAGGCUCGAACUGGUGCACUUAGAGGAAGUAAAAGUCGUAACAAGGUUUCCGUAGGUG